AUCCCUCCCUCUCUCAAUGUCACAUAAACUGUGCGACGGCCUUGGCGUUAAAUUGAGUGGAAUUGAUUUUACGCAGCGAGCAGAAAAGGCGGCAAGCAUCCAGAGACAUCUGAAGGGCUUGCCCCCCCCCCCCUACUCCUCCAAAAAAAAGACAAAAAAAAGAGAUUAUAGUUAUAUAAGUUUCCCUCCCACUCCCUCCAUCCUCCCAGCCAUCAGCAGGGGUGUUGCCAUAGCAACCCCCACCCCUCGGUUUUAAACGUCAGAGCCAGGAGCUGGAGAAUGAAGCCGCAUGCAGCUCCUGUCUCUCGUGCCUCUCAGAGAGCACCUGUGAUUUUGGACACCUCACAUGCAGCAGUCGGAAGAACAGCGCUGGAGGAAAUCUGGUGAUUGAUUUGAGUCUCGGCUGCUGCACAUCGAGUACCAUCCAACAGAGACAGACAAACUGAUUCUGCUGCACUGAAAGCAGUGAUGUCGUGGCUCUUCCUGGACUGGUUCGUCCCCCUCUACUUGCUAGUGUCGGUGCUGGUGCUGGCAGGGUUUGGAGCGUGUCUGUACUUCUUGGAGCCUGGGCUGCAGGAUGCCCACAAGUGGAGCAACAAAACAGUCCGGCAUCACCCGCUGGUAGCCAGCGUGAACUGCAGAGAUGACGAUAGCAAUGCUCUGAUAUGAUCGAGAGGGCGAGGUGGAGCGGGGCGCGCCAUCUGGACAGGGGUGCUGCCAGGACACUAGAGGGAGGGGGGACAGGAGCCAACACCUUAAAGAUGGAGACAGGAAAUUGAAGAGAAAGAUGGAGGGGGGAUGAUCUGAUAAGGGGAGCCCUGUCUUUUCAUCCUAACUUUUCUCUGAUCUCUUUCACACUUUAGGCUGUAGACAUCAGGGGAAAGUGAAGCAGAUGGGUGUAAAAGAAUUUGAAAAUGACACCAAAUGCACAAGGAGGAGAAGACUACACACGGUUAAUUGAGGACAUGUUGCCCUUUAGAAAAGUGGUUGUAACUUAAUGUAAAUUUCAUUCCCAUCUUAUACUUGUUCCUACUUUUACAUACGUUUUUGUAUCUCGACAAUCACUUUACAUAUUUCAUGAAGUCUACUUAUGGUGUGCAUUCAUUUAGUGCAGUGAAUGACAUUAAGUGCAAUGAAUUUGCUACCAUCGGGGAGGGUUUUAAUCCUCCCUCUGGUGGUGUCAGCUUGGCAGCUGCUGAAAAGCAUGUGGAUUGUUAGUGCCAAUGUGCCAAAAAUGGUGUAGUAGUGACUGUAUCCAAAAUAUAUGUGUACUGAAUAAAUACAAGGGAUCUAUUCGAAGUGCCAAGGUUACCUUAGAUGGACCAAGAAAACAGAAAAACAGUAUUUGGUAAUGCCUAAAGUGUAUAUUAUGGUUUUUCAUUGUUUUUACUUGACAGCAUGGUGAGGAAACUGGGUGUGACACCCUUUUUGAUGAUCAUAUGCUUCCUUUGUUCAUACAAAAUAAAACAGUUACUCUCA